rnacentral:rRNA from 1 species
GAUCCUGGCUCAGGAUGAACGCUAGCGGUGUGUUUAACACAUGCAAGUCGAGCGCCCCUCACUGUGCCUAUCACUGGUAGGUAGAGUGAGGGGAGCGGCAGACGAGAGAGUAACACGUUGGGAUCUACCCCAGACUCAGGGAUAACCGCCCGAAAGGGUGGCUAAUACCGGAUGGCCUCGAAAGAGUAAAGCUUUUGCGGUCUGGGAGGAACCUGCGGCCUAUCAGCUAGUUGGUAAGGUAACGGCUUACCAAGGCGAUGACGGGUAGCUGAUGUGAGAGCAUGAUCAGCCUCGAUAGGACUGAGACACGGCCCAUACUCCUACGGGAGGCAGCAGUGAAGAAUCUUCCGCAAUGGACGAAAGUCUGACGGAGCAACACCGCGUGGUGGAUGAAGGCCUUCGGGUCGUAAACACCUUUUCUGAGGGAAUAAGUUCUGAAGGUACCUCAGGAAUAAGGCGCUGCUAACUACGUGCCAGCAGCAGCGGUAAUACGUAGGCGCCAAGCGUUAUCCGGAAUUAUUGGGCGUAAAGCGUCUGUCGGCGGCAAUGCAAGUCUGGUGUGAAAUUUCAAUGCUUAACAUUGAAUGCGUAUCGGAAACUGUAUUGCUAGAGUCUAAGAAGAGCCACUGGAAUUUCCGUUGUAGGGGUAAAAUCCGUAGAUAACGGAAGGAACACCAAAAGCGAAAGCAGGUGGCUGGCUUAGUACUGACGCUCAGAGACGAAAGCGUGGGGAGCGAACGGGAUUAGAUACCCCGGUAGUCCACGCUGUAAACGAUGAGUGCUAGGUAUUGGAGGGAUUUGACCCCCUUCAGUGCCCACAGCUAACGCGUUAAGCACUCCGCCUGGGGAGUACGGUCGCAAGACUAAAACUCAAAGGAAUAGACGGGGACCCGCACAAGCGGUGGAUCAUGUGGUUUAAUUCGACGAUAAGCGAGAAACCUCACCUAGACUUGACAUCUCGAGAAGGUUCUGGAAACAGAACUGUGCCGCAAGGAACUCGAUGACAGGUGCUGCAUGGUUGUCGUCAGCUCGUGCCCUGAGGUGUUCGGUUAAGUCCGUAAACGAGCGCAACCCUUGUCAUAUGUUGUAUUUCUCAUAUGAAACUGCCGGCUCCAAGCCGGAGGAAGGUAGGGAUGACGUCAAAUCAGCAUGGCCCUUAUGUCUAGGGCUACACACGUGAUACAAUGGGUCGUACAAUGGGUAGCCAAGGAGCAAUCCGGAGCCAAUCCCUAAAACGAUCCUCAGUUCGGAUUGAGGUCUGCAACUCGACCUCAUGAAGUUGGAAUCGCUAGUAACCGUGGAUCAUAACGCCACGGUGAAUAUGUUCCCGGGUCUUGUACUCACCGCCCGUCACAUCACGGAAGGUGGAAGCACCCAAAG